CUCUACGCCGAAUGGGACUGAAAAGACGUCGACUACAAAUAGUUCGAGUCUCUAUCAAGCUGUCAACCCGACCAACACUGCUAUGAUCGUGGGUGUAGUCUGUGGAAUUGUCAUUGUGGCUCUCCUGGUCGCCUUUAUGACAUAUGUACUCUACAUACGCAGGAAGAUGUUGCCAGUUAAGGAAAAUGCAAAACCAGGUGAUGACAUUCCCUCACCUACUUACUACGACGAAUUCGAAGUCGCUCAAGGUGAUGACAUUCCUACACCAUCUUACUUCACAGUGCCUGACGUCGACGAAGUCGCUCAGGGUGAACAAAGCGAGGAAGUUUACACGGAACUAACAUAAAAUAACUUCUGGCCUGACAAUGCAACGCAUUUUUACAGUAAUGCUUCAAAUUUCAUUUUUCCGCGUGGAAAAUACAUGGAUAUACCGACAUUUGCUCAAAAUUGAAAAUAGUUACCAUGCUUUAUUGUAAACACGUGUGUUGUUUGCAACGCUUUGUCGACGUAUAUUUGAUAUUGCAGCACAUUCGUCACCAGUCGUCCCUUUCCGUAACUUUCCGUAUGGUAUGUGCGAUAAUCAGAACGCGAGUAAUGAUUGCGGUGCUUUGUUAAAAAUAAUCCGGAGUACUAAAAUCGUUUAUGGCAUUUUGUGAUUGUUUAAAAAAAUCAUGAAAAAUAUAUAUCGUCAUACAGACAGUACAAAGAACAUAGCUAACACAAUAGUGUUGCCUAAUGAGAAGUUUUUAAUAAUGAUAAUGACCUGAGAGAUU